ACGACUGCUGCUAAGACUGGAUAGGAAGAUAAAAGGCAUCUUGUAUCUUUUAAAAGACCUAGUUAAUAGGUAUGCUUUAGGAGGGGCUUGCGCUAUAUUAGUUAGUUGGUAGGGUAAUGGCCUACCAAGACGAUGAUGUGUAGCUGGACUGAGAGGUUGAACAGCCACAUUGGGACUGAGACACGGCCCAAACUCCUACGGGAGGCAGCAGUAGGGAAUUUUCGGCAAUGGAGGAAACUCUGACCGAGCAACGCCGCGUAAAUGACGAAGUACCUCGGUAUGUAAAGUUCUUUUAUCGAGGAAGAAAAGCAAAUGGCGAACCAUUUGUUUGCCGGUACUUGAUGAAUAAGCCCCGGCUAAUUAUGUGCCAGCAGCCGCGGUAAGACAUAAGGGGCAAGUGUUAUCCGGAAUUAUUGGGCGUAAAGGGUGCGUAGGCGGUCUAGUAAGUCAGUGGUGUAAUGUCAACGCUUAACGUUGUCCGGCUAUUGAAACUGCUAAACUUGAGUUAGAUAGAGGCGAGUGGAAUUCCAUGUGUAGCGGUAAAAUGCGUAAAUAUAUGGAGGAACACCAGAGGCGUAGGCGGCUCGCUGGGUCUUAACUGACGCUGAGGCACGAAAGCGUGGGGAGCAAACAGGAUUAGAUACCCUGGUAGUCCACGCCGUAAACGAUGAGUACUAAGUGUCGGGUUAAACCGGUACUGAAGUUAACAUAUUAAGUACUCCGCCUGAGUAGUACGUACGCAAGUAUGAAACUUAAAGGAAUUGACGGGACUCCGCACAAGCGGUGGAUCAUGUUGUUUAAUUCGAAGAUACCCGAAAAACCUUACCAGGUCUUGACAUGUUUUUGCAAAAUGAUAGUAAUAUCGUGGAGGUUACCAGAAACACAGGUGGUGCAUGGUUGUCGUCAGCUCGUGUCGUGAGAUGUUAGGUUAAGUCCUAAAACGAGCGAAACCCUUAUCGUUAGUUGCCAGCACGUUAUGGUGGGGACUUUAACGAGACUGCCAAUGAUAAAUUGGAGGAAGGUGAGGAUCACGUCAAAUCAGCAUGCCCCUUAUGACCUGGGCUACAAACGUGAUGCAAUGGCUGUUACAAAGGGUAGCUGAAACGCAAGUUCUUGGCCAAUCCCCAAAAACAGUCCCAGUCCGGAUUGAAGUCUGCAACUCGACUUCAUGAAGUUGGAAUCGCUAGUAAUCGCGAAUCAGCAUGUCGCGGUGAAUACGUUCUCGGGGUUUGUACACACCGCCCGUCA
rnacentral:rRNA from 1 species